GACGAACGCUGGCGGCGUGCUUAACACAUGCAAGUCGAACGGAAAGGCCCUUUCGGGGGUACUCGAGUGGCGAACGGGUGAGUAACACGUGGGUGAUCUGCCCUGCACUCUGGGAUAAGCCUGGGAAACUGGGUCUAAUACCGGAUAGGACCAUGGGAUGCAUGUUCUGUGGUGGAAAGCUUUUGCGGUGUGGGAUGGGCCCGCGGCCUAUCAGCUUGUUGGUGGGGUGAUGGCCUACCAAGGCGACGACGGGUAGCCGGCCUGAGAGGGUGUCCGGCCACACUGGGACUGAGAUACGGCCCAGACUCCUACGGGAGGCAGCAGUGGGGAAUAUUGCACAAUGGGCGCAAGCCUGAUGCAGCGACGCCGCGUGGGGGAUGACGGCCUUCGGGUUGUAAACCUCUUUCAGUAUCGGCGAAGCUCCGUGGUUUUCUGCGGGGUGACGGUAGGUACAGAAGAAGGACCGGCCAACUACGUGC
rnacentral:rRNA from 1 species